CGACAAAACAUUUUUACCUCCGUCACAAGGAUUUAACCUUUUUCCCCCUUUUUCUCCUUGUCAGGUGCACUAGUGGAACAAAGGCGGUUCACCUUACCCAAGAAUGGAUGGGAAAAAAAUUGCAAACUUACUUGAAGAAGGAUACAGAAUGCCUGAACCACAACACUUGGAUAAUGAAUUGCUGGAUUGACCUUGGAUUGACCUGCCUGACAUACCGGGAGAGAUGAUCUGCCUAGAUGAAGAGUGAGAUAGCCGAAGAGCUUUCCGAGAUCAUGAAGAAA